UGGCCGGGUACUUAUACAUCCCGACAAAAAGACACAAUGAACAGAUAUGAGAGUACUUGCAGUUAUCUGACAGCUUGUUCAAAGCCACUAACAACUGAUAAAAAAAUCAUGCAUCUAAGACUAAACUAUCAAUCCGUACACAUCCAACAUCCAAUGGAUUUAGUGUAAAGACGUCAUAAACAGCCAGAGAAAAACAUGACCUUG
rnacentral:lncRNA from 1 species